GAUGAACGCUGGCGGCGUGCCUAAUACAUGCAGGUCGAGCGAACAGAUGAGGAGCUUGCUCCUCUGACGUUAGCGGCGGACGGGUGAGUAACACGUGGAUAACCUACCUAUAAGACUGGGAUAACUUCGGGAAACCGGAGCUAAUACCGGAUAAUAUAUUGAACCGCAUGGUUCAAUAGUGAAAGACGGUUUUGCUGUCACUUAUAGAUGGAUCCGCGCCGCAUUAGCUAGUUGGUAAGGUAACGGCUUACCAAGGCAACGAUGCGUAGCCGACCUGAGAGGGUGAUCGGCCACACUGGAACUGGGACACGGUCCAGACUCCUACGGGAGGCAGCAGUAGGGAAUCUUCCGCAAUGGGCGAAAGCCUGACGGAGCAACGCCGCGUGAGUGAUGAAGGUCUUCGGAUCGUAAAACUCUGUUAUUAGGGAAGAACAAAUGUGUAAGUAACUAUGCACGUCUUGACGGUACCUAAUCAGAAAGCCACGGCUAACUACGUG
rnacentral:rRNA from 1 species